UUCACCUCUCCACCCGAUCGGUCACCUGCCCCCAAAUCCCAACUCCAACCCUAGCUGUCAGCACCGGCUGCCGCCCCUGCCCUGCGCCCCGCCCCCGCCAGCCGCCGCUGAGGGCACCCAAAAAAAUCGAUCCCCUCUCCGUUUCUCCGCUCCUCAUGUUGUACUUGACGCCGGCUGCUCGAUUCGCUUCCAGAGACGACGGAUGUCAACGCUGGAGAUUGCCAAAUUGAUUCCCCGUGCUACUCUGAUUCUCCACUUCCAUUUUCUCAACUUGAUUUAUCACCUUUGUGCUCCCGAGUUUGAACCCUAGCGACGGCCCAUGCGGAGAGUGGAGGUUGACGAGAUGCGGCAGUGGCACAAAUCUCGUAUCCCGGCCUGGCGCCUUGCGGGCGACCUUGGCGACGACGGAGCUUGAAGCUUGGUGUAGAUGACCUCCGCAGAGAGAGGCAAGAACAUGUGUGAUGAGGAUGUCAAGGAGAACCAAACAAUCUUUGCAAACUAUUACGCGAGGAAUAAGGUGAACCCAUUGCUCAGUUCAUUAGGUGGCCUGAAGCUAAUCUUUUCGUCAUUUGGCACUUGUCAUAUUUUCAGUCCUAGAUGAUAUGGACCUGUUAUCAUACCUGAUGCUCCUCUAUCAUUGCUCAGUUCUGAUACUUUAAAUGCCCGCUUUUUCUUGAUUCUGAACUUUCAGGCUGCCACUUUUUUUUAACUGAAUUUGCAGGAGUUUGAGUAUAAUGCAGCCAUCUGUAUCUAUCUUGCAAUCUGAACUUUUAGGAUGCCACAAUGACUGCACUAGAGACGUAGUACUUUGUUGGUAUGCUUAUGGUCCAGAUCAAAGUGAUGUGUAGCUUAUCCACAAACUUACGUCCAUCUCUAAUGCUUCUAGUGAAAAGAGAUCUUUUCGACACUAUCUCUAAAUUGGAAUGUGUUGUCUAGUUUUUUUUUCUGUGGAUUUAUCCCAUGAUGCUCUAUA